GGUGGCGCAGAGCAGGCGUUCAGGAAUCACCUGCUCCUUUGCUGUCCUGAAGUGUGCACGCAGCGGUCCCACAGGUGGUACAACUGGUAAAGAUUCUGCCUACCCAUGCAGGAGACAGAGACGUGGGUUCGAUCCUUGAGUGUCGAAGAUCCCCUGGAGAGGGAAGUGGCAACCCACUCCAGUUUCUCGCCUGGAAGAUUCCAUGGACAGAAGAACCUGACCCCUCUGUCGGAUUUGGCUCUGUGGAGAACCCUCUCCUCCUUGGAACUUCAGUGUUUUUCCAACUUUUAAAAACUGCAACUCAACUUAAGAAGGAAUCUUCUACAUGGUAACCCAGUAAACAGGUACAUCUUCUCAGCAGAAACUACUGUUUCCCAAUGUAUCCUUAACUGUAUACAAGAACCCUAGUCUAGUCUCGUUCUUCGUCACUGUGAAUUACUUCGCAAUCGAGUCAUUGAUUUUAUUACCCAGUGAUGGAUCUGACUCCAUAGCUUGAAGCCCGUACCUUCGCCUCCCCUGACAUUCUUUUUCUCUGCUUCUCCUCACAUAACUCUCACCAUCCUCUUUGGUCCUUGCACUUUCUGAUAUUCCCGGCAUCUUACCUUCAGCUUUCUGUUCCUUGCAUAUGUAUUUUUCUUGGGUGGUCCUGUUUUUCCUCUUUAUGCUGCAGACGCCAAAAUUGUCUUCACUCCAGAGUCCUGCACUGAGCUUCUGCAGGAAAUGAUAUUGACCCCAAGUACCGUCCCCAGAGCCCUGCCCUGGGUCAAAGUCAGAG
ensembl:lncRNA